GGGAUUGUAGCUCAACUGGUCAGAGCCCCACCUUGUUUUGGUGGAAGAUGCGGGUUCGAUCCCCGUCAGUCCCA